GCGCCCUUGGCUCAGCUGGAUAGAGCAUUCGGCUACGAACCGGGAGACCGCAGGUUCGAAUCCUGCAGGGCGCACCA
rnacentral:tRNA from 1 species